AUAAGAAGCCAUGUCUCACAUUCUGGAGCUAGCAACAGCUGAAAGAUGGUUAUUUGGGGUGGAGGGAGGACUGAUAUUACACUUUCAUGUAACUAUGAUACAUUUGUUUUAAAAUGUCAUCCUAUAUAAUAAACUUUCUGUUUUUUCUUUUUUAAUUUACCAUUUGACUUUUUUAGAACCAUGCAGGAAAGCCUUAACACCAAAGUUUUCUGAGCAAAAUUGGAACAGUAGGACAUGAGAUGAUGCAAAGCUGACCCUACAGGAGCCUCACACUGAUCCUGUUGUGUAUUUGGCUGUGCUUUACUCUGACGAAGCAGAGCACUGGGGCUGGCUAUUUCUUGUCAGCUGAAGAUCCUCUCUGCAAAUCCCCUGUGUGUCAGUUGUCUUUUGUGCUUUAGUGUCUGCUGUGACCACAUGGACAUUUGUUUGACAGGAGUCUGUGACCCUCAAACAGUUUGGCUCUGCUCAGUUACAUGGUGUCUGACCUGGCAAUUGAAACCGAGUAGCCACCAGCAGAACUGCUUACCAGACUUGUCUCUGUGGAUGGAGGAUGAGCGUUAAUAUUCAUAAGCUGUUACUCAUUAACACC
rnacentral:lncRNA from 1 species